AGUGAACGCUGGCGGUAGGCCUAACACAUGCAAGUCGAACGGCAGCACAGUAAGAGCUUGCUCUUACGGGUGGCGAGUGGCGGACGGGUGAGGAAUACAUCGGAAUCUACUUUUUCGUGGGGGAUAACGUAGGGAAACUUACGCUAAUACAGCAUACGACCUACGGGUGAAAGCAGGGGAUCUUCUGACCUUGCGUGAUUGAAUGAGCCGAUGUCGGAUUAGCUAGUUGGCGGGGUAAAGGCCCACCAAGGCGACGAUCCGUAGCCGGUCUGAGAGGAUGAUCAGCCACACUGGAACUGAGACACGGUCCAGACUCCUACGGGAGGCAGCAGUGGGGAAUAUUGGACAAUGGGCGCAAGCCUGAUCCGGCCAUACCGCGUGGGUGAAGAAGGCCUUCGGGUUGUAAAGCCCUUUUGUUGGGAAAGAAAAGCAGCAGGUUAAUACCCCGCUGUUCUGACGGUACCCAAAGAAUAAGCACCGGCUAACUUCGUG
rnacentral:rRNA from 1 species